AACGAACGCUGGCGGCAGGCUUAACACAUGCAAGUCGAACGCUCCGCAAGGAGAGUGGCAGACGGGUGAGUAACACGUGGGAACGUACCCUUUACUACGGAACAACUCCGGGAAACUGGAGCUAAUACCGUAUGUGCCCUUUGGGGGAAAGAUUUAUCGGUAAAGGAUCGGCCCGCGUUGGAUUAGCUAGUUGGUGGGGUAAAGGCCUACCAAGGCGACGAUCCAUAGCUGGUCUGAGAGGAUGAUCAGCCACAUUGGGACUGAGACACGGCCCAAACUCCUACGGGAGGCAGCAGUGGGGAAUAUUGGACAAUGGGCGCAAGCCUGAUCCAGCCAUGCCGCGUGUGUGAUGAAGGCCUUAGGGUUGUAAAGCACUUUCACCGGAGAAGAUAAUGACGGUAUCCGGAGAAGAAGCCCCGGCUAACUUCGUGCCAGCCGCCGCCGUUAA
rnacentral:rRNA from 1 species